rnacentral:rRNA from 1 species
CCCAGACUCCUACGGGAGGCAGCAGUGAGGAAUAUUGGUCAAUGGGCGGAAGCCUGAACCAGCCAAGUCGCGUGAGGGAAGACUGCCCUAUGGGUUGUAAACCUCUUUUGUCAGGGAGCAACGCCGGCUACGUGUAGCCGGACUGAGAGUACCUGAAGAAAAAGCAUCGGCUAACUCCGUGCCAGCAGCCGCGGUAAUACGUAGGGGGCGAGCGUUAUCCGGAUUUACUGGGUGUAAAGGGAGCGUAGACGGUUCUGCAAGUCUGAAGUGAAAGCCCGUGGCUUAACCGCGGAACGGCUUUGGAAACUGUGGAACUGGAGUGCUGGAGAGGCAAGCGGAAUUCCUAGUGUAGCGGUGAAAUGCGUAGAUAUUAGGAGGAACACCAGUGGCGAAGGCGGCUUGCUGGACAGUAACUGACGUUGAGGCUCGAAAGCGUGGGGAGCAAACAGGAUUAGAUACCCCAGUAC